rnacentral:ncRNA from 1 species
CAACCUCAACUCAUAUGGGACUACCCCCUGAAUUUAAGCAUAUUAAUUAAGGGAGGAAAAGAAACUAACAAGGAUUUUCUUAGUAGCGGCGAGCGAAAAGAAAUCAGUUCAGCACUAAGUCACUUUGUCUAUAUGGCAAAUGUGAGAUGCAGUGUACGGAACAUCAACAUUCUAGUAUGAGAAGUUAACGAUUUAAGUCCUUCUUAAAUGAGGCCAUUUACCCAUAGAGGGUGCCAGGCCCGUAUAACGUUAAUGAUUACUAGAUGGUGUUUCCAAAGAGUCGUGUUGCUUGAUAGUGCAGCACUAAGUGGGUGGUAAACUCCAUCUAAAACUAAAUAUAACCAUGAGACCGAUAGUAAACAAGUACCGUGAGGGAAAGUUGAAAAGAACUCUGAAUAGAGAGUUAAAUAGUACGUGAAACUGCUUAGAGGUUAAGCCCGAUGAACCUGAAUAUCCGUUAUGGAAAAUUCAUCAUUAGAAUUGUAAUAUUUUAAACAAUAUUAUAAUAAUAGUGUGCAUUUUUUCCAUAUAAGGACAUUGUAAUCUAUUAGCAUAAAUAUUUAUCAUAAAAUUAUGUCUGAUUGCUUAUUUGAAUUAUAUGCUUGGCAUUUUAACAUAAAAUAAAAGAUAUAAAUUUGAUAAAGUGCUGAUAGAUUUAUAUGAUUACAGUGCGUUAAUUUUUCGGAAUUAUAUAAUGGCAUAAUUAUCAUUGAUAUUUGUGUUUAUUAUAUGCAUUUGUAUGAUUAACAAUGCGAAAGAUUCAGAUACCUUUCGGGACCCGUCUUGAAACACGGGACCAAGGAGUCUAACAUAUGUGCAAGUUAUUGGGAUAUAAACCUAAUAG